GGUCCCUGUUUGCCUCGAGGGCAAUAAGAGCAGGGGACAGCAUUUUGAAGGUCCCUUUCAACGUGGAAAUAUCACCAGAUGAUCUCCUUCUUGAAAUUAGGUCCUUGAAAGUAGGGAAUGUAGCUAAACUUGCUGCCGUCAUCCUGAAAGAACAGAAAAUGGGUCAGGAUUCUGAAUGGGCUCCUUGUAUAAGAAGUCUUCCUCAGCCCAAGGAGAUGUAUAGCACGGUCUGAAUG